rnacentral:rRNA from 1 species
CAGCAGCCGCGGGAAAACGAAGGGUGCAAGCGUUACUCGGAAUUACUGGGCGUAAAGCGUGCGUAGGUGGUGGUUUAAAUCCGUUGUGAAAGCCCUGGGCUCAACCUGGGAAUUGCAGUGGAUACUGGAUCACUAGAGUGUGGUAGAGGAUAGUGGAAUUUCCGGUGUAGCAGUGAAAUGCGUAGAGAUCGGAAGGAACAUCUGUGGCGAAGGCGACUAUCUGGGCCAACACUGACACUGAGGCACGAAAGCGUGGGGAGCAAAUAGGAUUAGAUACCCGAGUAGUCCCUGUCUCUUAUAC